AUGAACGCUGGCGGCGUGCCUAAUACAUGCAAGUCGAGCGAACGGACGAGAAGCUUGCUUCUCUGUUGUUAGCGGCGGACGGGUGAGUAACACGUGGAUAACCUACCUAUAAGACUGGGAUAACUUCGGGAAACCGUAGCUAAUACCGGAUAAUAUUUUGAACCGCAUGGUUCAAAAGUGAAAGACGGUCUUGCUGUCACUUAUAGAUGGAUCCGCGCUGCAUUAGCUAGUUGGUAAGGUAACGGCUUACCAAGGCAACGAUGCAUAGCCGACCUGAGAGGGGGAUCGGCCACACUGGAACUGAGACACGGUCCAGACUCCUACGGGAGGCAGCAGUAGGGAAUCUUCCGCAAUAGGCGAAAGCCUGACGGAGCAACGCCGCGUGAGUGAUGAAGGUCUUCGGAUCGUAAAACUCUGUUAUUAGGGAAGAACAUAUGUGUAAGUAACUGUGCACAUCUUGACGGUACCUAAUCAGAAAGCCACGGCUAACUACGUG
rnacentral:rRNA from 1 species